rnacentral:rRNA from 1 species
UACGUAGGGUGCAAGCGUUGUCCGGAAUUAUUGGGCGUAAAGAGCUCGUAGGCGGUCUGUCGCGUCGGCUGUGAAAACCCGGGGCUCAACCCCGGGCCUGCAGUCGAUACGGGCAGACUAGAGUGAUGUAGGGGAGACUGGAAUUCCUGGUGUAGCGGUGAAAUGCGCAGAUAUCAGGAGGAACACCGAUGGCGAAGGCAGGUCUCUGGGCAUUAACUGACGCUGAGGAGCGAAAGCAUGGGGAGCGAACAGG